CUGGCAGCGCCUUUGUGGGGAGAGCGCAGCGCCGGACCAGCGCUCCCCCCACCCCCGCGGCGCCCGGGCUGGGGCCGGGGCUCCCCGCCGUCCCCAUGAGCCGGCUGUAGGGUAGGCGCUGCUACGACCGCCCGUUUGUCCGAGGGCCUUUAGCUUUUGUUGGGGUUUUUUUUUUGUUUGUUUUUCCUUUUUUUUUUUUCCUUACAGUAUAUUUUUCUACACUUUGCUAUAAAAAAGAAAAAAACACACAAAAAAAACCAUGGUGCUGGGGAAGGUGAAGAGUUUGACAAUAAGCUUUGACUGUCUGAAUGACAGCAAUGUCCCCGUCUACUCCAGCGGGGACACAGUCUCAGGAAGGGUCAAUUUAGAAGUAACUGGGGAAAUUAGAGUGAAAUCUCUUAAAAUUCAUGCAAGGGGACACGCUAAAGUGCGUUGGACUGAAUCGAGAAAUGCUGGAUCCAACACUGCCUACACACAGAACUACACUGAAGAAGUAGAGUAUUUCAACCAUAAGGACAUCCUGAUCGGCCACGAGAGAGACGAUGACAAUUCGGAAGAAGGCCUUCACACCAUCCAGUCCGGAAGGCACGAAUAUGCAUUCAGCUUCGAGCUUCCACAGACACCACUUGCUACCUCAUUCGAAGGCAGACAUGGCAGUGUGCGCUAUUGGGUGAAAGCCGAAUUGCAUAGGCCUUGGUUUCUACCAGUAAAAUUAAAGAAGGAAUUUACAGUCUUUGAACAUAUAGAUAUCAACACUCCUUCAUUACUGUCACCCCAAGCAGGCACAAAAGAAAAGACUCUCUGUUGUUGGUUUUGUACCUCAGGCCCAAUAUCCUUAAGUGCCAAAAUUGAAAGGAAGGGCUACACCCCAGGUGAAUCAAUUCAGAUCUUUGCUGAGAUUGAGAACUGCUCUUCCCGUGUGGUGGUGCCAAAGGCGGCCAUUUACCAAACACAGGCAUUUUAUGCCAAAGGGAAAAUGAAGGAAGUCAAACAGCUUGUUGCCAACCUGCGUGGGGAAUCCUUGUCAUCUGGCAAAACAGAAACCUGGAAUGGCAAACAGUUGAAAAUUCCACCUGUUUCCCCUUCAAUCCUCGACUGCAGUAUAAUCCGUGUGGAGUAUUCACUGAUGGUUUAUGUUGAUAUUCCAGGCGCCAUGGAUUUAUUCCUUAACUUACCGCUGGUCAUUGGUACCAUUCCUCUACACCCAUUUGGUAGCAGAACAUCAAGUGUGAGCAGCCAGUGUAGCAUGAACAUGAAUUGGCUUGGUCUGACACUGCCUGAAAGACCAGAAGAACUUGCUGUUCGAACUGCGUGUACCUUUUCCCUGCAGCACCUCCUGCCUAUGCAGAAGUGGUCACAGAGGAACAAAGACAGUCCAGCCUUGCACCCAUAGGUGCUUGUGAUGACUUUGAGAGAGCGCUUCCGGGACCAUUGUUUGCAUACAUCCAGGAGUUCCGUUUUCUGCCUCCACCUCUCUAUUCAGAAAUUGAUCCAAACCCAGAUCAGUCCACAGAUGACAGACCAUCUUGCCCCUCUCGUUGAAGGAAUCCAUAAAAAGCUGACUUGACUUGGGUUUUGAAUCAUACCUGCCGUGUUGAAGGUCAAGGUGUCAUAGUGGAGACACACUUUGAAAGGAAGUGGUUUUGCUCUUGUCUGUAUGGUGAAUAACUGAAAACAACCUGUGAUCAUGCUUUGAAGCCUACAGUAACAUUGUAGGACUGCUCCACAUGCUUGAAGACCUGAGCUUCCCCCCCCUCCCUUCUUAAAUACUGGCACAUACUAGGAGCAGCCUUACUAACCUAUGGUCAUGUGUGUCAAAACAACACUCAAACCACAUUAUAAGAGAGGGAUGGCUUCCUCUUAUGAUUUGGAAAUUUGCACAUGCUCAUUGCUUACAUUGUGCGGUUCAAUGUCACUACAGCUUUUUCUCAUUUAUGCCGGACUGUUGUUAUUCCCCUCUUAUUUCUUUGUGGUCUGCACAGUAAGGAGCAAAAGAAAGCUUUGACAAAAAAAACCAACAGCAACAGACUUUGACAAAUGCACUGACUUUUCUUUUUUUUUUUUUAAUUUAAUGUAGCCUGGACUUUACCUGCAUAUGCACAUGCUCAGAAUUGUCCUAGUAGGCUGAUCAUGUAUCACCUCUUCAGCUUGGAUCCUAUGGUGGAUUUAUUUACAAACAUCAAAUGCCUUCAAGCCAAUCCUUCUUGCUGUAUGUUUUGCAGCCUACUGUAGUAGAUAAGCAACAGAUGGGGCUGGGGUGGGGGGUGGAGUUAAUAGAAAUUAAUAGACUUCAUCGAGAUUGUAUACCUUCCUGAUUUCUUUUAAGAAUUUGUUGCCUUUCUACUAUUAUCGCAAAGCAGCAUUUUGUUACAGACUGCCUAAAAAUCACUUAAUCUCAGGUGAACUCAUCACUUGCCAAACUGUUGGAAUGCUAUUUGUUUUGUUACGUUGCACUGUUGAGUUACUUCUUUUUUUUGUUUUGUGUUUGUGUUUUGUUUUUUGUUCUUUAUUCGAGAGGGGGAGCUGGAAUAGGGACAUACACAAAAGUUAGAAAACCCACCCUCAUUCCCAUUUCUCUUUAUACAUUAUAAAAAGAUGUUCAAGUUGUGAAGCUUUAAAAAAAAUAAAGGCACAAAAGAAAGUAGCGCCAGCAGAGACCAGCUCAGCCUCAAAAUAAAUUUAAAAGGAAAUAGUCAUACACUGUCUAGGAUUCAUAGACAGAUUGAUAUCUCAAGUAGUAGGGAUGGGAAGGGAAAGUAAAUUUAUUUUUAUAUAUAGUUACCUAAUCACCAAAAAUUCUAUAUGUAAUGAGUCUCUAGUAGAAAGUAUAUUUCAAACUGCAGGAAAAGCUUGGACUAUGCUAAGAGCUCAGUUUGUGCACUUUGUAUUAUCUUCAGGGUUUAUGAUACUGUAAAAAAUAGUAAGACUAGAAGUAUAAUUAAACUGGGCAAGAUCAGUGUUACCAGCCAUACUCAGAUACUAGUUAGCUAGAAUUGCCUUGAUGAUUGCAUCUUCUGUGGUACUCUGAAGAGCUUUAAAACAAAGAGAACAGCAAAUUCUACCAUUUAUUCCUUCAGAACGCAAGAAAUUACAUGGAGAGAGCACUCGCCCUUGAGUGUGCCCCAAGGAAGAAAAAGAGUGCAAAGGAGCCAUUAGAUGCGCUAGCACAAAUACCAGCACUUACAUGCUAGAGAUUUGCAGCAGAAGUCAACUUUCCUUUUCAGAAACCGUGUAACGCAGACCACUGGCAAAGGGACACGCUUCUGGUGUUGACUACUUAAAUCAAGAUGUAAUCCAUCAAGUAGCUAUCUCCUUGUGCAAUAAAACAGCUCAGAAGGGAGCAGGAGAGAGGAGGCUGGUGCUUCUGCGUGGUGCUUGUUCUUAAAAACCUCUGCCUUGUUUUUAAGGCUUCAUAAAUGCGACAAAAUAGGCUUUUCCAUAAGUGGCCUUUAUGAGAACAUGAACGAUAAUUCAUGUUUCAAAAAUGACAACAGGGUGAUAAAAUAAUGAGUCGCGUUUUAAGUGAUUCAGUUAAAAAGGCUUGGGCUUUGAGCACGAAUAUUGGAUGAGAAGGAAAUUGGGUGAUUUCUUAGGGUAUUAGGCCAAUUUUGUGAAUGUCCCUUCCCUCUACCCUCUCCAACCGGACAAUUUAAAAAGCUGAUGGGAUCGUUGGCAUAAAAGGGCAUUUGGUGGUUUUACUUUUUUUUCCUUUUUUUGUUACUUUUAACAGACUAGGGAACAAUUGCUGAUAUACAUAGCAUUAAAGUACUUAUCACAAUGUAAUGGAAAAUUGCAUAUGAAGCAGGAUUGACCAAUAUCGUAGUAAUUUAUGUGGCAUCACAGCCUUUGUGAUUAGAGUGAACAAUUCUAUAACCUUAUCAAAUAAAGGCUUUCCGUUUUAAAUUACGUUGUUAGUUGUUCAGAGGCAUUACUCUUCCACAAGUAUUGGUCAAUUCUCAGCAUUAUAAAACAUGAGGUUCACAGUUGUAGCCCAGUAUUUGAUAGAGAAUUCUGAUCUGAAUUAGGAAAAAGUAAGUAAAAUCCAAACAUUAGAGAAACAAAGUGCAAUAUUAAAUGUUUGCUUUAUAGAAUAUAUUCUAUGGCUGUUUGUACUUUUUUGUUUUUAGUUUUGGUGCUGAAUAUGUCCUUGUAGACUCUGUUUCAAGAAAACAAUAUGUGGAAAACAAUUUAAUUUUUCCUAUUGCUCUUCCUUGUGGAAAAUAAACUUUUGUAAAAAAAAAAAA